GUCCCUUUGGGGACAUCCGAGGAAAUUGGAAGCAUGGCCCCUGCGCAAGGAUGACACGCUUUUAUCAAGCAAUGGUCCAAUUUUUU
rfam:Glycine soja cultivar W05 scaffold392_26, whole genome shotgun sequence.